UUCGUCUUUCUUUUUCUU
rnacentral:snRNA from 1 species